rnacentral:miRNA from 1 species
CCAGGUAGGGGUCCAAUGAAUCUCGCUGGGGCCUCCAGAAAAUGUUGUGACUCACACAGCUGAGGAGACACGGACCCCACUUGAAUGUAAUUAAUCAAUAGAAAUUUAUUA